ACGCUGGCGGCAGGCCUAACACAUGCAAGUCGAGCGGUAGAGAGAAGCUUGCUUCUCUUGAGAGCGGCGGACGGGUGAGUAAUGCCUAGGAAUCUGCCUGGUAGUGGGGGAUAACGUUCGGAAACGGACGCUAAUACCGCAUACGUCCUACGGGAGAAAGCAGGGGACCUUCGGGCCUUGCGCUAUCAGAUGAGCCUAGGUCGGAUUAGCUAGUUGGUGGGGUAAUGGCUCACCAAGGCGACGAUCCGUAACUGGUCUGAGAGGAUGAUCAGUCACACUGGAACUGAGACACGGUCCAGACUCCUACGGGAGGCAGCAGUGGGGAAUAUUGGACAAUGGGCGAAAGCCUGAUCCAGCCAUGCCGCGUGUGUGGAGAAGGUCUUCGGAUUGUAAAGCACUUUAAGUUGGGAGGAAGGGCAGUAAAUUAAUACUUUGCUGUUUUGACGUUACCGACAGAAUAAGCACCGGCUAACUCUGUGCCAGCAGCCGCGGUAAUACAGAGGGUGCAAGCGUUAAUCGGAAUUACUGGGCGUAAAGCGCGCGUAGGUGGUUCGUUAAGUUGGAUGUGAAAUCCCCGGGCUCAACCUGGGAACUGCAUUCAAAACUGACGAGCUAGAGUAUGGUAGAGGGUGGUGGAAUUUCCUGUGUAGCGGUGAAAUGCGUAGAUAUAGGAAGGAACACCAGUGGCGAAGGCGACCACCUGGACUGAUACUGACACUGAGGUGCGAAAGCGUGGGGAGCAAAC
rnacentral:rRNA from 1 species